rnacentral:rRNA from 1 species
AAGAUGACGAGCGGCGGACGGGUGAGUAAUGCUUGGGAAUAUGCCUUAGGGUGGGGGACAACAGUUGGAAACGACUGCUAAUACCGCAUAACGUCUACGGACCAAAGGGGGCUUCGGCUCUCGCCCUUAGAUUAGCCCAAGUGGGAUUAGCUAGUUGGUGAGGUAAUGGCUCACCAAGGCGACGAUCCCUAGCUGGUUUGAGAGGAUGAUCAGCCACACUGGAACUGAGACACGGUCCAGACUCCUACGGGAGGCAGCAGUGGGGAAUAUUGCACAAUGGGCGCAAGCCUGAUGCAGCCAUGCCGCGUGUGUGAAGAAGGCCUUAGGGUUGUAAAGCACUUUCAGUAAGGAGGAAAGGUUAGUAGUUAAUACCUGCUAGCUGUGACGUUACUUACAGAAGAAGCACCGGCUAACUCCGUGCCAGCAGCCGCGGUAAUACGGAGGGUGCGAGCGUUAAUCGGAAUUACUGGGCGUAAAGCGUACGCAGGCGGUUUGUUAAGCGAGAUGUGAAAGCCCCGGGCUCAACCUGGGAACUGC